CAGGGUGUAGCUCAGCUUGGUAGAGCGCUUGGUUUGGGUCCAAGAGGCCGCAGGUUCAAAUCCUGUCACCCUGA
rnacentral:tRNA from 1 species